ACAAUAAUUGGGCAAAGCAGGUGAAAGUCUGUGACGCAAAGCUAUAGGGCCUUUGAAAUGGCAGCCAGUUGCACAA
rnacentral:ncRNA from 1 species